GAUGAACGCUGGCGGCGUGCCUAAUACAUGCAAGUCGAACGCUGAAGGAGGAGCUUGCUCUUCUGGAUGAGUUGCGAACGGGUGAGUAACGCGUAGGUAACCUGCCUGGUAGCGGGGGAUAACUAUUGGAAACGAUAGCUAAUACCGCAUGACAACAGUUAUUGCAUGAUAACUGUUUAAAAGGGGCAACUGCUCCACUACCAGAUGGACCUGCGUUGUAUUAGCUAGUUGGUGAGGUAACGGCUCACCAAGGCGACGAUACAUAGCCGACCUGAGAGGGUGGUCGGCCACACUGGGACUGAGACACGGCCCAGACUCCUACGGGAGGCAGCAGUAGGGAAUCUUCGGCAAUGGACGGAAGUCUGACCGAGCAACGCCGCGUGAGUGAAGAAGGGUUUCGGAUCGUAAAGCUCUGUUGUAAGAGAAGAACGAGUGUGAGAGUGGAAAGUUCACACUGUGACGGUAGCUUACCAGAAAGGGACGGCUAACUACGUG
rnacentral:rRNA from 1 species